AGCUUGCUCCUGGGUGACGAGCGGCGGACGGGUGAGUAAUGUCUGGGAAACUGCCUGAUGGAGGGGGAUAACUACUGGAAACGGUAGCUAAUACCGCAUAACGUCUACGGACCAAAGUGGGGGACCUUCGGGCCUCAUGCCAUCAGAUGUGCCCAGAUGGGAUUAGCUAGUAGGUGGGGUAAUGGCUCACCUAGGCGACGAUCCCUAGCUGGUCUGAGAGGAUGACCAGCCACACUGGAACUGAGACACGGUCCAGACUCCUACGGGAGGCAGCAGUGGGGAAUAUUGCACAAUGGGCGCAAGCCUGAUGCAGCCAUGCCGCGUGUGUGAAGAAGGCCUUCGGGUUGUAAAGCACUUUCAGCGAGGAGGAAGGGUUCAGUGUUAAUAGCACUGUGCAUUGACGUUACUCGCAGAAGAAGCACCGGCUAACUCCGUGCCAGCAGCCGCGGUAAUACGGAGGGUGCAAGCGUUAAUCGGAAUUACUGGGCGUAAAGCGCACGCAGGCGGUUUGUUAAGUCAGAUGUG
rnacentral:rRNA from 1 species